rnacentral:rRNA from 1 species
UACGGAGGUGGCAAGCGUUGUCCGGAUUUACUGGGCGUAAAGAGCGCGCAGGCGGUCGUAUAAGUCGAAUGUGAAAGCCCCCGGCUCAACUGGGGAGGGUCAUUCGAUACUGUUCGACUCGAAGGCAGGAGAGGGAAGUGGAAUUCCGGGUGUAGUGGUGAAAUUCGUAGAUAUUCGGAAGAACACCAGUGGCGAAGGCGACUUACUGGACGACUGUUGACGCUGAGGUGCGAAAGCGUGGGGAGCAAACAGG